CGAUUUCUCCAAUCGUGCUUUGACGCGUCUCCUUUUUUCCCUGUAGAUACGAACGGUUUCUGUAAUGCUCUAAUUUUUUUGGGGGUCAAAAUCGGCAGUCACCGGCUGUUCUACGUCAGUUUUCGAUUUUUUCCCGAUGUCUUCCGGUUUCUACGGACUCCUUUGCCUUCCUGGUUCUCGGUUGUUUCAGUCCAACCGGUAAAAGAGGAGAUAGUUAAGCGGUGCUCUUUCCACGAUGGAAUUCUAGCGAACGAAUUGGGGCGGUCAAAGCGAUGUUCUCUCUCCAGUCCCAACCAUAUCUCCAUCGCCCAAUGGAUAGCUCCACCGCGUCACCCUCCUGCUGGCCGAGCUCCUCCACCGCCCCUCGGCCCCCGCCCUCCUCCACCUCCCCCGUCCUCCUCCACCGCCUCCUCGCCCGACCUCCUCCACUGCCAUAGAGGUGGCGCCCAGACCAGCAGCCCAUCUCCCUGCUUUUCCGCCGGCCAGAGAGACCGGCAGCCCCACCUCCCUUUUUUUCUGCCGGCGGUUACCCUCGGAACUGGAGGACUGGGCGUGGCUUCGACGCUGCCUCCCACGUCUUUGCCGAUCUCAUCGGUCACCGGCGGACGCGGCCUGAGCGGGGUAUCUCCUGGCAUCGUUGGCGCUUCCGUCCUCACCGGCAGUCGAGGCCUGAACCGGGUUUUCCUCGACGUCUUGGCCGUCGCCGAUGUGCCCCCGUCGCCGUCCUGGAUACGCCUCCUCUCCCAUCCCUCCGUGCGCAACCAGGCACGACUGACUGCGGGGAACUCCGACCCCGUGCAUGUUACUGCAGCACCUCCUACUCUCUCUCUCUCACCAGUUUGAUGCGCGCCAACUGUUUGAUGGUAUGUUUGUGAGGAUUUUUUUUUUGUUGGCUGAAUAAUGCUCCAAUAUUCCUUGCAAGAUUUAGAGGUGAUAUUUGUCCAUUCCGUGAUGCCUGAAUUUUGCCUGCUCAUUGGCAUUCACUCUGCCUCCAAGCUGUCUCUGACGAAACGGUGCUGUUCCCUUGCCAUACUGGGAGAAGGUUUUAGAUUUCCUAUUAGUUUCCCGCAAACUAUCAUCCUGAUUGUUACUUCCAGUCUAAAUAGGAUCGCUCGCUCAUUAUCAUGCAGGCUGACACUCCUCUUGGGGUAGAAUUAAAUGGAAAACAGUGGCCCUCCUGGUGGCUUGCCUGCGAGGGGGGCAACCAUAGGAUCUUUUCGGCGACUCCAAUGCCACGGAGAUGUUUUGCAUCACCCUGACAGCUAUUGUGGCAACCACUAGCGCAGGUACUCGGCGGCUAGGUGAUCCAUCCCCUUUCAGCCUUUCAGACAAUGAUUGAUUGCACCCACCUUUGGUUUUUUCAACUAUACUAUUGUUCAGUUAUUAAUUAACAGUGCAAUUUUGUUCCUGCUACAUAAUACUUGGAAACAUGAUUUCUGUCUUUGGCAGAUCUCUUUGAUGAGAGAAAUGAAUAGCUGAUAAAGCCUACAUUGGAGUUUUGUUGUACUGAGAUUUGUUCAGUCCAUGUGGAAUUUUCCCAAUGAUACAGCCAGGGCAAACACAGAAAGAUCCUACUUAAAGCACAAACAGAGGUUGGGAACAAACGUACAUGCCACCCGCCAUUGCCGCCACUACACUUCUAUCGGUUGGUGUUGGAGCUCAUGUGGUAAUACACUAGGGAUGACAUGGAGGCCACGGAGAUUCGUUUCUCUUUCAGGUAUCACUGUGCUCCAUUUCGAAAAAAGGUAUCAUUGUGCUUCUUAUUUUCUUUAGUAUGUAGCUUCAAAAGGUAUUACCUGCUCUUUAUUGAGUGGUUAAUAUGAAAUGUCUAAAUGAAUGAUGUUUAAUUAGUGUCUUGUGUCUAAUAGGGCAUGUGAGAACAAUGUUAGCUGAACAAUUUUGUUUUAGUCUAGGAGUUUUCAACAUAGAGUCCAGAGCUGUUGUUUUUUUAGAGAGAAUACAGAGUUGCGUGCUCAAGCUUUCGAAUAGUAAUUAAGAAAUUUCCUUAAAUAUUAUUUUCUCUGAUGUAAAAGAUCAUUUGGAAGAUUUUUCCUCCAGCUGCCUAAAAAAUAGACUAUACUGGUUCAAAGAGUGGUUUUGAAAAUUACUUCCUCAAAUAUUAGAAAACAGAUGGGAUGGUUUUUUCUUUCCAUCUCUUUUUUUCCAGAUUAUGGAACAUGAAAGAAGGAGAUUAAUCGAUAUGCAAGCACCUAGACAAGAUGUGCAGAGAUGUUACCAAUGUCAGCUUCUCUGCGCACCCUGAGCAGCACCAACACGUGGAGUGUGUCUUCAGUGAGUCACCAUCCUAAUCAGAGGCAGCGAACCCUCAUCGGUUCAGUACAGAUGUUACAAGUGUUUUUGAUUUUUACUCUCCUCAUGUUGUGCGUCAUUGAGAUUUAUAGAGUAGUGGGUAGUGAACCCUGCCUGCCUUCUUUGAUAAUGUGAUGUAGGAUUUUACAUAGAGAGAGGUAAGCACUACUACAUAUAUGUGACAGUUUCAUGUCCCUAUCCUGCACUUAUAAGGAUUUCCGCAAUUGUUGAUAGCUGCAGCUAAAUACCCGUAACCGGAAAUUUUAGGAGAUCUUUCUUCCGGUGUAGAGAAAAAUAACUGGGUAGUACAUUUGAAGUUCCUAUAGGUACCAGAUUAGAGAUUUAAACACUGGAAAGAAACUCUAGAUCUUACAUGUUGACGAGAACACUUAGGUAGUACAUUUUAGGUUCCUACAGCUACCGGAUUGGAGAGUUAAACUUAAACCAUUGGAAAUAAAAUCUAGAACUUACAAUUCUUCUGCUGUAGAGGAAAAUAGUUAGGCAGUGCAUUUUAGGUUCCCCAUAAAUAAUGAUUUCUACUUUCUAUGCUUUUGUAGAACGGAAAUACUUCUCUGGCAGAACAACAUAGAUGGAGCAAUGGAUAAAAUGUUCUUCUUAACUGAGCCAUCUUCCUGGUGCUCCAGAAUAUAUAUGUUAAGUUUUUGAAGUCAAUGACAAUAGGAUGACACAUGGUUUCAAUACUGAAAUAGAUAGCUUUUGAGAUAAAUCCGCCAUUUGCUUACACCACGAUAUGCACCUCUUCUAUAUGAGAAAAUAUUACUGAGUGGGUUUAUAGUUGUUCUGCCCAAAGUAAGCAUGGUUAGCAUCUCAUGAUUGCUUAAUUUUCCACUGAUUAUGUUGAUUUGUAAUUUAUCUUAAAAGGAGAUUCUGAUUUGUAUUGUUGCACUAUGUACCUUAGUUUUUGCGUUAUCUUUUCACAAGUUCAGUUCAGAUGAUAAUAUUGACAUAUUUUCCUUCAUAAAUGAGCUUCGCCAAAUUCAUCCCAGGUUCCCAACAACUUAAAUAAGCUGCUCGAAAGCAUCCUGAUGGAUCAACCGAAGAAAGAAAUCACAAAUCGCAACAAACUUUAUGCGGCUUAAUCGGUUAUCAGAGAAGUAAAUUCUGAAAGGAGAGCGAUCAAAGCUGAAAAUACCAUUAGCAGGUAUUAUCUAUGGUUCCUGGAGUUUUUGUGAUACAGUAAAGUGGUCUGAUUAUUUUUGUAAUGGCAAUGCUGAGACUGUAGGCUUCCCUGUCGAUCAUAGGUAGUCUGCACUGUACUCCAACUUUUUUUUGAACUUCUGUAUUGGAGUAUUUUGUAAUGACACACUUUGUUUGUGCAAAUGUCGUGCUAUAAUUAUCGUGUGUCUCUCUUAUCUAGAAACCUCAACUUUCUCCAUGUAAGGAUUCUUGGUAAGUUAAUGAAGUUAUUGCUUGCAAGGCUUA